rnacentral:rRNA from 1 species
AAUAUAUGUAAGUUGAAUGGGCGUCGUAAGACGUCAGUGGUAGACGGGUGAGUAAUGCGUGGGAAUAUAUCCUCCGGUUUGGAAUAACUCAGGGAAACUUGAGUUAAUAUUGGAUAUGGUUGAGAGGUGAAAGAUUUAUCGCCGGAGGAUUGGCCCGCGUCCGAUUAGUUAGUUGGUGGGGUAAUGGCCCACCAAGGUGAUGAUCGGUAGCUGGUCUGAGAGGAUGAUUAGUUAUAUUGGGAUUGAGAUAUGGUCCAAAUUUCUAUGGGAGGUAGUAGUGGGGAAUAUUGGAUAAUGGGCGUAAGCCUGAUCCAGCCAUGCCGCGUGAGUGAUGACGGCCUUAGGGUUGUAAAGCUCUUUUGCCAGGGAUGAUAAUGAUGGUACCUGGAUAAGAAGCCCCGGUUAAUUUUGUGCCAGUAGUUGUGGUAAUAUGAAGGGGGCUAGCGUUGUUCGGAAUUACUGGGCGUAAAGUGCGUGUAGGCGGGUCUUUAAGUCAGGGGUGAAAUGCCAGGGCUUAACCUUGGAAUUGCCUUUGAUAUUGGAGAUCUUGAGUCCGGGAGAGGUGAGUGGAAUUGUGAGUGUAGAGGUGAAAUUUGUAGAUAUUCGUAAGAAUAUAGUGGUGAAGGUGGCUCACUGGCCCGGAAUUGAUGCUGAGACGCGAAAGCGUGGGGAGUAAAUAGGAUUAGAUAUCCUGGUAGUCCACGUUGUAAAUGAUGGAUGCUAGCCGUUGGGGAGUUUGUUCUUCAGUGGCGUUGUUAAUGUUUUAAGCAUCCCGCCUGGGGAGUACGGUUGUAAGAUUAAAACUCAAAGGAAUUGAUGGGGGCCCGCACAAGCGGUGGAGCAUGUGGUUUAAUUUGAAGCAAUGUGCAGAACCUUACCAGCUUUUGAUAUGUCCUGGACGGAUUGGAGAGAUCCGAUCUUCCCUUUGGGGCCGGGAAUAUAGGUGCUGUAUGGCUGUCGUCAGCUCGUGUUGUGAGAUGUUGGGUUAAGUCUCGCAACGAGCGUAACCCUCGCCCUUAGUUGCCAUUAUUUAGUUGGGUAUUCUAGGGGGACUGCCGGUGAUAAGCCGGAGGAAGGUGGGGAUGACGUUAAGUCCUUAUGGCCCUUAUAGGCUGGGCUACACACGUGCUACAAUGGCGGUGAUAGAGGGAUGUGAAGGGGUGAUCCUUAGUUAAUCUCAAAAAGCCGUCUCAGUUCGGAUUGCGCUCUGCAAUUCGAGCGCAUGAAGUUGGAAUCGCUAGUAAUCGCGGAUCAGCACGCCGCGGUGAAUACGUUCCCGGGCCUUGUAUAUACCGCCCGUCACACCAUGGGAGUUGGCUUUACCUGAAGGUGUUUCCUUAACCCGUAAGGGGGAGGGAUGACCAUGGUAGGGUCAGCGAUUGGGGUGAAGUUGUAAUAAGGUA